AGGGAGGGAAGGGCAAACAGACCAGGGCUGGAACAACUCUCCUGAUCAGCAGCCAAUUCCAAGGUCCAGCCUCUCCUGCUAACACCCCCUUCGCCUCCCUCCCACCCCACCCUAGAGGCCAGGUCAGAUUCCUGUGGGCUCCACCACUCUGUCCCUAUUCCUGUCUCCAGGACACCCGACAGGCCAUCCCUGACCCUGGCUCUUGCCACCUUCCCACCCCCAACACCGACCUGAGCGAGAACAGAUACUACUCUUGGCUUGAAGCCCCAGGCAGCCUACCCAAACAAGAGGAGAGAGGGAGAAAGAGACAAAGAGAGAGUCAGCUCCUUUCUCCCAAUCUGACUGCAGCCAGAGAAAGGACCAACCUGAACUGGAGUGAGCAAGUGCAUAAAGCCCUCCGUAACCAUCAAGUCUGUCACCCCUGCACUGAGCACGCCUAACAUCUCAUCCUGCUGGAAGCCCACUGUAAUUUCACAGUAUGACUUGUCAUCUUUUCCAGGAUGUCACUGUCCAAAAUUCUUUUCUCAAUUCUCAUUUAAACUGAACUGAAUCUUCUUUUCAUUGGGUACACACGGGCCAUAUUCAGCAUUAACCCUGACUGCAGCCUCAGAACACCUCUUGGUCUUCAGUGAAAUCACUGUGGGUUCCUCCCAAUGAGCAGAGGCAGCUCUGGAUAGGUGUUUGGCCUCAGCCGCCCCUUGUGAGAGCGAGCAGCCCACCCUCCCUGUCCUGACCAGAGCCAGUCAGCCUGUUGAGGACAUUGACCUACCUUCAGCUCCAUCACCCGCCUCUCCUCCUUGGCCUUCAUUUUCUGCACAGCCUCCAGGUGCUUUCUCAGUGGUUCCACAUGCCCCUGCAGUUUGGCCUACAGAAUGAGAAGGGGAAGGUUAGAGACCAGGGCUGGGAGACACACCUGCCUCAGAGCCCACUCCCCCACCCUCCAGUGGGUUAGGGCUCAAAGCUUGACCCCAUCACGGGUAUUAAUGGGCAUCACAGUCCCUCUGCCCCUUUCUUCUCUUCACAUGACAGCAAAGGUCCCUGACCCUCCACCUGCACUCAUGAAGAGUAGCCCUGGCUCUGCUCCUCAACGGCAGGACCCUGGUACACAGUCCCACACUCAGAGCUAGAGUGGACCUGGUGAGACACCCCCAUCACUUGAGUCCUCCCAUAUGAAUGUUCCUGCCUAUGGUGCCUUCCCCCUCAUAAACAGUCUUCCUCAUAAAUUUCAUCUUUAAAUGCGUUUCUAAUGAUUUUGUGCCCGUGCUAAAAAGCUUUCAGUGCUUCACCACCACUUGCAAAACAGGAGGCUCUCACUGCCUCUAUGUCUCACCUCCUCUCCUACACCUACCCCUUCUAUUAGUUACAGCUACAUAAAACCACUUGCCUUUUCCUGAAUUCCAUACCUUUAUUCAGGCUGUUCCCUUGGCCUGGAAUUGCCCUUUUCAACUUGGCCCAAAGCAUUCUUCCUUUAAAACUCCAAUACCUGACCAACUAUGGCCCUGAUCUUCCCCAGCCCCAGCUUCCUCUGUGAUCCCAAGGAACACGCGUACAACCUUCACAAUAUUUUUCAGGCACCGUUCACUGGUGUGCCUCCCCUAGGAGACAGGGGAAACUGCGUGGCCCCCAGGGGCUCCACUUUACCUCUUUUAACUUCUGUGCUUCUCUCUGUUCACCUGCUUUCUCUCACACUCAAUUACUUGCUAAGUGGAAAACAAAAACCCCUUCCUACGGUUUAAACUUUCACGUCAAAUACACACUUGAGCUCUGUGUUCCCAUCAUUUGUAGCAUCUUUUUAUUUAAAGGGCUGUUAGACUAGAGUGAGUGAGGUAAGUCUGACCUAUUUGCUCUUUUCUGUCUUAUGUCUUCUACUGCUUCACAUUUCUCCCUCCUUUUCCUGGAGGAGUAAUACAGGGCAGAAGAGCUCAAACCUAGACUGAUCUGAACCUGAAGGCAGCCAGGUGACCUGAGGCAAAAGCCAUAGUUCCAGUUUCCUCAACUUAAAAUGGGAACUGGAAGUAAUAGAAUCUACCUCAGUGACAGUAGGCUUAUCACAACAUCUGAUGUAGCAAAAGAUCAGAAAAGGUUUUAGUUUUCCCAGCCUAGACCUAAGCUGCCAAUGACAGCCUGAUAAUGACCCUUGAACUAAAGAGGUUACUGACCCAGAAUAUUAGAAGCAGUUGUUCCAUAGAACAAGUAGUUGUAGAAAAACUUACAGUAGUAAUAUUACAAUCAAUCCAUUACAUGAAAAUAGCACAAACGACACAAAAUUUUGCCUUUUGAUGUUACUUUUCUCCAGAAAUGUUAAUAAUUUCUAUUAAUUAAUGUCAAUAAUGUCUAUUAACUCAGAAUUUAUGCUUAAAUUUCCCUUUUAACAUUUUUCCUAAAUUGUUGAUAAAAAAAAAAACUCAUGAACACAAACCCAAAUAGAGUACUACUUAAAUUCUCCAGGACCUUUUUGGGAGCUUUAUUUAUAUGUCAUUUGUCAUUUGUGUGUUACUACCUAUUCAUCAAAGUAUUUCUACAAAACGACAACUGGGGCAAGCUAGGGCUAGUCAGUCCUAUAAUUUAGAAAGGGAAUCACCCAAAUUAGUUCUACAGAAUAAAACGUAUGUAUUUAUAUUUGCUGAUCAGUUAAUAUCAGGUUAUUUGUGUCUAUGUGGCCUCCCCAAACUGCAGAGCCCUUUGGGGCUGGCAUUGAAUAAAUGUGGCUAAUAUGAACUAAAAUCCAGUCUCAGAAGCUCUUUGGAAGUCUGACAUAGGUGGAGAAGGAGUGGAGAAGGGGUGGAAUGCCCAGGGACGUCCACCCUAGAAUCCAGUUAGCCAAGUGACUGCACACUGACAGGUACAGCUACCUAGGACCCAGAGGGAUAAAAAAGGAAGAAAAGGAACUCACAACCUCCCCUAGUAAUGUAGGGACUAAAAGGCAGGUGAUGUUACCAAUGCAGUGAUUCACACACUAGGCUGGGCUUUCUGAAGAUACUCUCCCCAUCAUUGAUUCAGAAUCAGUAAUGGUAGAGCCACUGUACUUCUGAAAACCUCCCCUAGUAACUGGGACAAUCAGACAUGUUUGACAAUCCCUGUGUAGAAGAAAUAGUUGCUUGUCAUGAGGGAAAGCGGGUUUGUCUUGAGCUGUAGCACUCACUUUAAACACUUUACUCUAAAACUGGGAUAAUGAUAUGAUACCCAAAUGAGGUUACUGUAGGAAUCAGGAGAGGGUGUGAUAACACAAGUCAUAAAACAAGCUCAGACCACACAAAAGCAGCUACCCUCUCCUCUCCCAAGUCCCACUGCUGCAAACCCAUCCAGGCCUCUGCUAAAGUAGUGCUAUCUGCUAUUGUCUCACAGAAAAUCUCCUUUACGUAUGUCCAGAGAGAGACAGGAUCAGAAACAGUGGCAAGAUAUUAGCCAAACCAGAAUCAGACUCCAAGAAAAGUCACAUAUCAGAAAAGUCAGACAAUAGACAUGUAAAUGUGGUGACACUGUUAACCGUGUAGGCCGGGGGCAAGGAGGUCAUAACCAAGUCCCUCACUAACAGCCGUGCGGCCCUGUAUUUUACUACUUAAAUCUAUUUCCCAAUCUAUAAAAGGGGAAUAGAAAUCAUAUGAAACUCACAGGGUUGUUCUGGGUUUUAAAUGAGAUAGUGCAUGCAAAGUGCUUAGUACAGUGUCUGGUGUACAUAGUAAGUACUGGGUAAAUAGUAACUUUUAAUCCUGGUGAAAUUAGAGUUCAAAGACAUUCAGAGACAUCCAAGCAAGUGUGGAGCCAGGUCUUCUGACUUAAUGGCCUCUCCCUUUUGUCUCAUUUCCCAGGAAAAGCAAAUUUUGGUCAGUACAUCAGACUGAUGCAGAGCCAACAAAAAUCCUCAGGGGGACAACCAAGCUCUGUCGGGGUGGGUAGGGAACCCAUCGGAAGGCAGGUGCAGAGCACCUGGGUCUGACACUAGUGAUUCCUCACGCCUGCUCCUCAGACCCCAAGUUCUUCCCAACUGUAGAGGUCCCAGCCCAGCAAAGACUCGAGACUUAGAGGAAAAUGAGACCAGUAGUAAAGCCUCAGGGGCCUGUCGCCUGCAGCCCUACACCCAGGUAAAGUGGAAGUGUGAAACGGCAGCGACUUUUCUCCAGGAGACGCAGCCCAGUGACAGGGCAUCACCAGCUUUGCCCAAUUUCCUCUGAUGAAGCCAGUCUUCACUGUGUCUGCCUUCUCUGGGUAGCCUCCUCACUAGAAUCCACCUGGGGCCAGUAAGCGCUCAGAUACGGCUACUCAGCCCAGCAGUACCAGAGGUUCUUCGGGGGAAAGCCGUGCUUCCUUCUCCCGGCUCCUCUGACCGCCUCCCCACCCCAGCAAACCCCGGCUUCUG